rnacentral:rRNA from 1 species
CAGGAACGCUGGCGGCAGGCUUAACACAUGCAAGUCGAGCGCCCCGCAAGGGGAGCGGCAGACGGGUGAGUAACGCGUGGGAAUCUACCCAUCUCUACGGAAUAACGCAUGGAAACGUGUGCUAAUACCGUAUACGUCCUUCGGGAGAAAGAUUUAUCGGAGAUGGAUGAGCCCGCGUUGGAUUAGCUAGUUGGUGGGGUAAAGGCCUACCAAGGCGACGAUCCAUAGCUGGUCUGAGAGGAUGAUCAGCCACACUGGGACUAAGACACGGCCCAGACUCCUACGGGAGGCAGCAGUGGGGAAUACUGGACAGUGGGCGCAAGCCUGAUCCAGCCAUGCCGCGUGAGUGAUGAAGGCCCUAGGGUUGUAAAGCUCUUUCACCGGUGAAGAUAAUGACGGUAACCGGAGAAGAAGCCCCGGCUAACUUCGUGCCAGCCGCCGCCGUAAAAC